rnacentral:rRNA from 1 species
CAGUCGCCGCGGGAAUACGUAGGUGGCAAGCGUUGUCCGGAAUUACUGGGCGUAAAGGGCUCGCAGGCGGUUUCUUAAGUCUGAUGUGAAAGCCCCCGGCUCAACCGGGGAGGGUCAUUGGAAACUGGGAAACUUGAGUGCAGAAGAGGAGAGUGGAAUUCCACGUGUAGCGGUGAAAUGCGUAGAGAUGUGGAGGAACACCAGUGGCGAAGGCGACUCUCUGGUCUGUAACUGACGCUGAGGAGCGAAAGCGUGGGGAGCGAACAGGAUUAGAUACCCCAGUAGUCCCUGUCUCUUAUAC